rnacentral:piRNA from 1 species
UNGCUACCUUAUAACUAGUCUUUUGGAGUUC